CCAUAUCACAUUGAAACACCAGUUCUUGUAUGAUCAUCACAGUUAAGCAAAAUUGAGCAUGGUUAGUACCUAGAUGGGUGACUGCUUAGGAAUGCUAGGUGCUGUAA